rnacentral:rRNA from 1 species
AUACAGAGGGUGCAAGCGUUAAUCGGAAUUACUGGGCGUAAAGCGCGCGUAGGCGGUUUAAUCAGUCGGAUGUGAAAGCCCCGGGCUCAACCUGGGAACUGCAUUCGAUACUGUUAAGCUAGAGUAUGGUAGAGGGAAGUGGAAUUCCAGGUGUAGCGGUGAAAUGCGUAGAUAUCUGGCGGAACAUCAGUGGCGAAGGCGACUUCCUGGACCAUUACUGACGCUGAGGUGCGAAAGCGUGGGGAGCAAACAGGAUUAGAAACCCUAGUAGUCC